rnacentral:rRNA from 1 species
AACCUGGRGGUUGGAUCAUUA